UUUCCCGACUGAUUCUUUCUGAAUAAUGCCCACAUGCGCACUAGCGAGGACAGGCUGGAGCCUCUCGAAGUUUGCGCCCUUUGCAGGGGGGAGGAGCCUGGCCUCUCCAGUUCCUGUGUGGUAACCUGAGAUGCAAUCUGUGAGGCAGGAAACCAGCUAGCAGGGCUCUCUCUCUCUUUGCUGUGGGUUCCUGUUUACCUUUUUCUUAUAUUUUUUCCUUUUCAUCCAAUAAAUUCCAUUCCCCCUCACCCGUCAAAGUGUCUGUGUGCCUAACUUUUACUGGUUGUAUGACAAGAACCCAGUGUUUUCUACAACAUUUUUGGCGUCCGGACGUGGGGCUUGAAGAAGGAUUCAGUCCACUGAUGACCCCUGACAGGAGAAAGAGAGGAGAGGAAAAGAAAAAGGAAGUAAGAUCGAGAAGCUGUGGGGCCAAAGAAUGGAACAGAAUGUUGCAAUGGAAUGCUGAUUACUCUUCAGCACCAUUCUGGGAAGGAAAUGCCAAGACCACUCCCAUCUCUCAGAAUUACUCAUCUGAGGUUUGUCCUUUUAAUUUCCAGUAUAGUUUUCAUGGUUCUAAGAAGAAGAGGUAGACUAUUUCCCCAGGACUCUAAUGUGAUAUUGACAGUAGUUAUUUUAUACUGUUAGGUUGUACCCACAGUGGUAUUCUCACUCAUGUAGGGCUGCAGUAGAGAGCUCAGCCUGCUCCACACGAUGACUUGACAGAGGCCUUCAUUGAAAGGCUGCCAUGAAUCUGACUCUAGCAGAAGAUGGCAGAGUCUCAAAUCUAGAGUUGCUUUCUAAAUAGUUUUUUUGCUAUUUUACAAACCAAGUGUGAUCCUUCAUCAUGGGAAAAAAAAAUUUAAAUGCUAUUUUGAAAAAUGAUGUAUAAUUAAUUAGCAGAACUUGUAUUUUCAAGAAUAUCUUCUCAGAAGAUAUCUCAUUAAUAUUUCUCCUAAUAUUAACCAAAGGCUUUGUCGUUUGAGUCCUCAAAGCAAAGACUAUUGUAUCAUUUUGCUAAAAUGGAUUCUGGUUCAAUCUGUCUCACUAAAGACUAUUGUAUCAUUUUGCUAAAAUGGAUUCUGGUUCAAUCUGUCUCACUAGCGUUUUACUUUUUCUUUGAAAAGCAC
rnacentral:lncRNA from 1 species